AAACCUGCCGGAAUAGCUCAGUUGGUAGAGCAGAGGACUGAAAAUCCUCGUGUCACC
rnacentral:tRNA from 2 species